CUUUUUGCAAAUCCAGUUGAAUCAGCAUAUCUUUCAGUUUUUUUGUCGGCCAACGAGCCGACUUUCAGCUGCCUGUGGAAAGUAGAAAGCAUGAAAACUCUUUUACUGGCACUGAAUCUCUACUCGAUGUUUUUUAAUGUGCUAUUGCAUUCGGUGAUGCUUGAAUUGUCGUGAAUUUUUCUCAUAGAAGUACCUAUUCCUAGUCCACCUCUCCGAGUUUCCUUCCGUUAUUUUCAAUGUCUAGUGAGGAGGCCAAUAAUCUGAAAACGUUGGGGAACGCCUCCAUCAAAGAGGAAAAAUAUGCAGAGGCCAUACUACAUUAUAGUCAUGCCAUCAAAAUUGACCCGAACAACUAUCAACUCUAUAGUAACAGGUCUUUGGCUUUUCUUAAGAUGCAGCAAUACUAUUCUGCAAUGGAAGACGCUGAACAAACGAUUGUGCUUAAGCCAGAUUGGGCCAAAGGUUAUUUCAGGAAAGGAGAAGUUCAGUUGGCAACUCACCUGUACACAGAUGCCCUACUGUCGUAUAGAUUAGCAUUAAGACUAAUGCCUGCUGAUCUCACAAUCAUGGAGGCAAUAUCAAGAACAAUCAAAGCUGAACAGAAAGACAAAAGAGCUGAUUCGCAGAUACCAUGGCUUGGAGCUGGCAUUGGAAUCAUUAUCGGAGUUAUUAUUGUGAUAUCAGAUCAAAUUGCAACAAAGAAACCAACGGUUACUCAUCCAUUGCUGAUGGCCCUUGUCACAAUGGCAAUCUCUCUAAUUGGAUAUGGAGUUGGAUGGAUGAAUCGCUACUAUGUGAAGUGCAAUCGUGAUCAUUUACUCGACCCUCCAAUUGAUCUUCUCAAAGAAUUUAAGGAUCAAGAUAAUAAUGAUAUGAAUGGUGAGGAAAACUCACCAGAGCACCGCUCAUCUAGUCAUCGUUCCUCGAAAGGCCGAGCCAGGCAAAGAUAUAGAAAAGGCAAGAGUUAGUUUGAUUCUAGCACCAGUAUUCAUAUCCGUAGUAAACUGUCAAGCUCAAGAAGAGACCUGGAAUCAAUUUGGAAAGAUCUAAGAAUGUGUCUUCUUGGUGACACACAAGCUCUUCUUUCUAACAAUGUAAGAUCUCAAAAAACGAAGUAAAAAAAAACUGAAGUUGUUUUCUCUCUUGAUCAUGAGAAAAUAUGUCCCUCAGUGUGGUUUAUUGGCGGCGGCAGGUGUGUAAUUUAAUUUAUAAUAAAUAAUAUUGUUUACAGAAUGAAUUAUAAUAAGUCUCCUCAAAGGAUUAAGUAUAUCAUAGUCAUUAUUUGUUUAUUUUAAUUGCACCAACAAGUUAUUUGCAACAUUUUGAAAACAAAGGUUUUUUUUUUUUCAAAUACAUAUAGAUAUAUUUAUCAUGAACAUGAUAACAAACCUACUAUUUUAGCCAGUGCAAGGGCUGUAUAUUUUAAUUUUGGCACUUCUUGAAAGAAUUUUCAAGAUUGCUAUGCUCAUGGUAGAAGAUCCUAGAAGCGAGCCUGGGGAGAGUACUGAUGAGUCACAUCAACACUGCCAACCCGAAGAAAUGAAUGAGUAAGUGCCUUUGAAUGGUGUUGUGCCUCUACUCGUUUUUCUUCUUUCUCACAAAAAACAAUGCCUGAAUUGUCUUUAAGAACUCUUUGGAAACUUUUUUCCUAUAGCUGUAAAUAACAAGAAUCCAAAAAGUAGUUUCAAAUGUCGGUUUUUUUUUCAUUUUCAUGAAUUCAGAAUUUUAAAAUUUUUUCUUCACACUCAAUUACACUGCAGACUUAUUUGCUCAGGAUGACAAAAGAACCAAUUUUGGGCUUGUUUUUCAAUUGUAUUGUUAUGUAGAAUACAUGAUCAAAAUAAAUACCCAAAUUCUUUUAUCAAAGUCUGAAUUCCGAUAACUGUCUUUUGCUUAAAGGGUCCAUUUGUAAGGUAAGUAUUAAUUUUUCCAUUCAAGAUGAAUGUUAUCAAAGUUUAAAGGUGCCAAAUAGUUUCUCUGCUGCUAAUAUCCAGGUUCAUCUUAUUUUAGUUUAAUUGAUUGCAUCACUUAUCGUUGUAAUUUUACUUCAGUUAUACAUACUUAGAUCUCACUAUAUUUAUACAUUUUCUUUAUGGGACCGGCCUCAGAACUGCAUUUUUGAUACAUCACGGUUUCCAAAGAUUGUUUUGUCUCCGGUGAACGUUCAGUUUUGCUUAAAAAAAUUCCAUUUCAACCCCAACAUGAAAGUUGGGGCAAGAGUUUAUAAAAUAAUUUUCUCCUCAAUUUAUUGCUGCUUUUCACAAAGAUUAAAAGAAUUGGAAUUAAAUACUACCUGAUAAAUCGGUUUCCAUAAUAAUUUUUUCUAUCAAUAAGUAAGUAACCAAAACUCUCAUGAGCAUUUAUUCCCCAUUUUCAUAAUGCUUUCUUUAAGGCAUUUAAGAUUUCUUGAUGAAAAUUGCUCACCCAAUGAAGUAAUUUCAUUAACAUAAUUUUUCCAUGUUUAUUUUUUACAUUGUUUCAGCUAUUUUUAGUUGUAUACAGCGUUUAAAAGUAAGUUGUUUUUCAUCUCAAUGAUUCUGAAUGGUUCAGUUAGUUAGUGUAAUACCUCAUGAAUUAGCUAUGCUUCUUGUUUGUUAAUUUUUUACUUUGCUCUGCUGUACUUCUUAUUCUGUAAAGUUGUUGCAAUGAAUACAUUCUGGUCUUAAUUA